GCUUCCUGUGUCAGUGUCGCUCCAUAAUUAUUGGUUGGUGCUUUGUUGUGAGAGGAUUUUUAUUAUGAUUUGUUUUGCCCAGUAGUUUCAAAGAAUAGAGACGACCAUCUCUACAGGUAUAAGAAUUUGUAAGAGGACCAAGCCAUGAGGUUCUUGUCAUUUGUGAAAUUGGACAUGAGCUGCUUGUAGAAGGUAAAUGCAGGGAUGGAGCAUGAAAACCUAUCCUAUUUCUAAGCCUUAACGUCCUAGCAGGUGUUAAUAAUAACAAUUCUUAAUAACUGCUUAUUAACAACAUGCAUUAAAACAAGCACAAUGAAUAAAUAUGAUUAUUUUAUUGCUAUUUUAGUGGAAUGUUUCCCAGAGGAGAGAAGACAAUUUAACUGCACAGAGACUGGAACUGGUAAGGGUCUCUCUGUUACUAUAUUAGAAACCAAAUUAUUAGUCUUCAUUAUCCUUUUUUGCUUAUUGGCCCUUGAUACACUCAGCCAUCGAAUGGUGUUCAACCUUGGACAAAAUUGAUUCUGCAAAUAAUGAAAUGUUAGUAAAAAUAGAAGAAUUAAAAAAAAAAAACUUGGUCCAUUCUUCAAAUUGUUGCAUUUCAUUAUAUGAUUAAAUUAAUGGUGUCUAGAACCUAAGACCAUAUAUCUAAAUAGUAUGUAGCCUUCCAAAAGAAAAAUGUUGACAUUUUAUCGGAAUGUUUUAGGUGUAUUAAAAAAGUGUGGUUAUCAUCAAAUGUUUAUCAGAAUUAGUUUAUGUAGACAGUAAAUGUCGGUGUAUAUAUUUUACUACCAGGCUCUGGAUCCUUAUGCUUGAAUAUCUGAGACAACAGCAUCAAACACAGCCAAAAUCCUGUACACAUAGGGAGCUGAGUCAAGAAAUUAAUGGGUUAAAGGAGAAAAGACUAAACUUCACUGCUGAAAUUUGAGACAACUGCAUCAAACACAGACAGAAUUAUAUAAACAUAGGGAGCUGAGUCAAGAGAUUCAUCGGUUGAAGGAGAAGAGACUAAACUUCACUGCUGAAAUUUGAGACAACUGCAUCAAACACAGCCAUAAUUAUAUACACAGAGGGAGCUCAGUCAAGAGAUUUGUGGAUUGAAAGAGAAGAGGUUUAACUGGACUGCUCAUUGAAGAAAACUAGAUUAUGGCUCAAGAUUAAGCAAGAAGGCUUUUGGUCGCACCUCUCAUCAAAGUCAUCUUUUGGGAUUUACAUUCAACAUCUAGAUUUACAUUAUACUUCUUU
rnacentral:lncRNA from 1 species